UACGAAGGGGGCUAGCGUUGUUCGGAAUUACUGGGCGUAAAGCGUGCGCAGGCGGCUUCUCAAGUCAGGGGUGAAAGCCCAGAGCUCAACUCUGGAAUUGCCUUUGAGACUGAGUGGCUUGAGUACGGGAGAGGUGGAGUGGAAUUCCCAGUGUAGAGGUGAAAUUCGUAGAUAUUGGGAAGAACACCGGUGGCGAAGGCGGCUCACUGGCCCGUAACUGACGCUCAUGCACGACAGCGUGGGGAUCAAACAGG
rnacentral:rRNA from 1 species